rnacentral:rRNA from 1 species
GACGAACGCUGGCGGCGUGCUUAACACAUGCAAGUCGAACGGUAAGGCCCUUCGGGGUACACGAGUGGCGAACGGGUGAGUAACACGUGGGUGAUCUGCCCUGCACUUCGGGAUAAGCCUGGGAAACUGGGUCUAAUACCGGAUAGGACUCCUGGCUUCAUGGUUGGGGGUGGAAAGCUUUUGCGGUGUGGGAUGGGCCCGCGGCCUAUCAGCUUGUUGGUGGGGUGAUGGCCUACCAAGGCGACGACGGGUAGCCGGCCGGAGAGGGUGACCGGUCACACUGGGACUGAGAUACGGCCCAGACUCCUACGGGAGGCAGCAGUGGGGAAUAUUGCACAAUGGGCGCAAGCCUGAUGCAGCGACGCCGCGUGAGGGAUGACGGCCUUCGGGUUGUAAACCUCUUUCAGCUAUGACGAAGCGCAAGUGACGGUAGUAGCAGAAGAAGGACCGGCCAACUACGUGCCAGCAGCCGCCGUAA